GUUGAGGAGUUUAUGUUUUGGGGACGAUCUCCUGAACCUGAGAUUUGAAGCGAAAUUACCCUGGUGUUCGUCAUUCCUGCGAUUUACACCCAGUUAUGCUUAAUUGUGUCGACUAAGACGGCUCAAAGUGGGCGUCAGUCUCUGCAGUAAACCAGUAUUAGUUGUGGAGUUUAUGUUUUGGGGACGUUCUCCUGAACCUGAGAUUUGAAGCGAAAUUACCCUGGUGUUCGUCAUUCCUGCGAUUUACACCCAGUCAUGCUUAAUUGUGUUGACUAAGACGGCUCAAAGUGGGCGUCAGUCUCUGCAGUAAACCAGUAUUAGUGCACAAUGGUCACUUGUUGUGUUAAAGGCUGCACCAGUCGCACAUCAACAUCGGGCCCGAAGAUUCCCAAUAUCUCUUUUUAUCGAUUUCCAACAGAUCCUGUUUUGCGGAAAAGGUGGUUAAACAGGAUUAAUCGCAAAGAUUUUUCACCAACCAUUCACUCCAGGGUAUGUUCCCGGCACUUCCAGCUUAAUUCAGCGGUUCCGUCUAUAUUUCCAAAAGGCACACAUAUACCUAAGGGAUUGCUGCUAAUCAAGUUUUUGCACCACGAUCUUCGUACGAGGAUGCAAAAGCAGUUGGCUGUUUGGUCAAAUGUAGCAGAUUUGAACUGUCAAGUUGAGAGUUUUGUAAUUAUUUGUAAGUUAAAUGUUUGUAAAAUAUAGGAGCAGAGGCUUCAUCAUUAUCUGGAUUGCAUUUUGCAAAAAGGAACCAAGGGCAUUUCAAUGUUCCUUGGAUUGUGCAACUUACAUUCUGUGCAAUAAAAUCACUGGAAUCAUACAAAAAAUCAAAUAUACUAAGGGAAUUUUCAUCUUGAAUCUAUAGUUUAUUGGGAGUAAAGAUAAAAUUGUUUUAUAUGAUUAGUUUAUAUUUACAAGAUAAAAGAAGUUGCUGAAUCUUAGCGAUAUCAGAAUGCUCUUGGUUCCUUUUCGCAAAAUGCAAUCCAUCUAUGCCAUAUUUUGAGAGUAUCUCAUCCAAGCGAGAAAAUUCUCAUCAAUUGAAUCGUUGAUUAAUUUUAGAGUGACGGGUGGAUCAUGUCAAGAAAUUUGAUCUGAGUUCCUUGGAGCAGAAUCAGUUCUGUCCUUUUUUUUUUAGAUAUAUUUAUUUAUCUAAUAAUGUUUUUGCAUAAAUAUUGCAAAUAUUUACAUGGGUUUGGCCGUUAGAGUCCUGCUCAAAAGUAUCAUCACGUAAUAUUUUCUCAUUGUUAGAGGUUACAAAUUUUUUUGUGAUGACCUAAUAUGUACGGAAAUCAUUCUCAAGGUUUAAUACAUGCUAACCGAUCAAACAUUUUCCACGCUCAUUGGAGUAAAUUAAUUUGUACCCUUUUUAUUGUUCUGCGUAGCCGUUAAAAUACAUCGGCUUAUUGUUGACAUCUAACUCUAGUCUCAAACGAAUUUCCUGAGUAUUUUGAUCUCAACUCUCUUCCUAUCCUUUCUAUUUUUAUGAGGAUUCUUUUCUAAGUUAUGUAGGUACUUUAUUUUUAUUGGAAUCUUCCUUUUCCUCAUUAGGAAAGCUCUGAAGUUAUGACUUCCAAAGUCCAACUUGAAGGAAUGUGCUGAGCUAUCGCCUUCUAUCAGACUAAAAAAGACAGUCUCGUUAGGCUUCUCUUUGUAGCCUGUUCACUUGUAUCAUUUCUCAUCUCUCAUCAUGUUUAAAUUAUGUUUUUUUGUGCAAUAAACUUGCUCUUUUUUCACUCUCCUCAAGUUAUUCUCUUCUCAUGCAUUCCUACUGGAACUUGAUAUUUU
rnacentral:lncRNA from 1 species